GAGCAUUGGCUCUGCACCUACUCCUAAAACUCACAGAGGAAGUCACUCCCAGGUUUUCUGACAAAACAGGAACUCAGGAGAUUGGUCACACCAGGAUUUCAGGAUCUCAAAGGUAGCUCGACUUCUAGGAGCUCUGACACACCCAAUAUUGCAGGAUCACAGGAAAGACAAAUUCCAGUCAGAGACUGCAAGGGCAGUUAGCACUAGGGAUAACCAAAUGGCAAGAGGCAAACACAAGAACAUCAGCAACAGAAAGCAAUGCUACUUGACAACAUUAGAACCCAGUUCUCCCCCAAGACCAAGCCCUGAAUACACUAACACACCAAAAAAGCAAGAUUCAGAUCUAAUAUCUCAUUUAAUAGAAAUAUUAAAGAAAAUACAAAGGGAGACAACGUUGGAGAUGGAAGACUUAGGAAAGAGAUCAGGAGUCACAAAUGCAAGCAUCACCAACAGAAUAAAAGAGAUAGAAAAGAGAAUCUCAAGCACAGAAGAUACCCUAGAGGACAUCGAAACAAUAGUCAAAGAAAAUAAAAUGCAAUAGUCAAGAAGCAAAAUCCAUUACAGGAUGAAAAGACCAAACCUAAGAAUAAUAAGUAUAGAAGAGAGUAAAGACUCCCCAAUCAAAGGGCCAGUUAAUAUCGUCAACAAAAUUGUAGAAGAAAACUUCCCUAACCUAAAGAAAGAGAUGUCCAUAUACAUACAAGUAGCCUACAAAAACAGAUGGGACCAGAAAAGAAAUUCCUCUCAAUACAUAACAAUUAAAACACCAAAUGCACAGAACAAAGAAAGAAUAUUAA
rnacentral:lncRNA from 1 species